rnacentral:lncRNA from 1 species
AAGCCUCAAGAUAGAGAGCAAAAAGAGGUUAAAAUACAAGGCAAGGAAGAUGUAGAAGAUGUGUGGCCGUGUGAAGGAGAUUGUGAAGUGCCUUUGUAAAAGAGGUGAGGUUAUGAAUUUGUGGGCAAAUUCCUCUCAAGAUGGAGAGGAUGAUACAAGUAUGAUCAUGAUCAUGACACUUUUGAGUAUUUUUGAAGACUAGUCACUAAAGGGCCCUUUUA